UUCUUUUUCUAUUUAAUGGUUUAUAAUUUAUUACUCUCAUAUUUGAUCCUCUAAUUAUUCUGUAUUUCACUAAUGGGAACCCCUUCAAACUGGCUUCUUUCUCU